GGGUCCGUAGUGGGCGGGUCUGUAGUGAGGCGGGUCUUAAUGGGGCAGGUCCGUAGUGAGGCCAGUCUUAGGGGGGCGGGUCCGUACUGAAGCAGGUCCGUAAUGAAGCAGGGCCGUAGUGGAGCAGGUCUGUAGUGGAGCAGGUCCGUAGUGAGGCAGGUGUGCCAGGAUCUCAUGUGAACCUUUAAAGCCGCAGGCCUGACCUCCCUCCCACUCCCUCUGGAGCUGGAGCUUGUGUAAGGGCCGCGUCUCUGAUGGUCCUGGGCUUCCCAUCUCCAUGCCUGCUCGGAAACCCUGACAUCCGACGAGGAAAUGAUCACACAAUCCCACAGAAACCUGCCCAGCGGCUGGCGCCGUCACCCCAACCCUCCUCCCCCUGCAGCCCGGCUCUGCAGGGUGGGGUGUCCGUGCUUGAACCAGGAGACCCUCUUCCUGGCCGAUACUUUCCAGCCCCCUUGGCUCCAGGCUGAGCUCCCAGGAAAGGGGCAGACCCCACACACAGCUUCCCGCCAGCCUCUGCUGCCUGAGACCGUCCACUGCGCGCCAAGGCCUCCGUCCUCAUCCCCAAGCCCCCGCCAGUCUCUGUGGCUGCUUCCCAGGAGCUGCGCCGCUGACUUUUCCUGAGACACCUGCUCAUCUAUAUUCUAUGUUGCCUUCACCUGGGAAGAUUCAGCACCUCCCGAGCCUCCUGCCGCCCCUGAGAGAUUCCUAAAGCCUUCACCUCAUCACACACAGAACACGAAAACUUGAGCCACUUGGGGGAGAAAAAGUAGCUACUUAUAAAAAGUCAAGGUAGUCGUCUGCCCAACUCCCCAAUUCUUCCCCAGUUUGUGAGACACCAGGAUGCCAGUUUUUCAGCGUGUGACGUCCCAGGGUCAAUGAUAUUGCUACCAACACUUCUUGACUACUAUAGUUCAAAAAUCAUUCAUCUCGUUUUUGUUUAUCCAUAAAACAGCUUUGCCCUGCUUCCUUAAAUAAGAUUCCA